rnacentral:rRNA from 1 species
GAUGAACGCUGGCGGCGUGCCUAAUACAUGCAAGUCGAGCGAACAGACGAGGAGCUUACUCCUCUGACGUUAGCGGCGGACGGGUGAGUAACACGUGGAUAACCUACCUAUAAGACUGGGAUAACUUCGGGAAACCGGAGCUAAUACCGGAUAACAUGUUGAACCGCAUGGUUCAACAGUGAAAGACGGUCUUGCUGUCACUUAUAGAUGGAUCCGCGUCGCAUUAGCUAGUUGGUAAGGUAACGGCUUACCAAGGCAACGAUGCGUAGCCGACCUGAGAGGGUGAUCGGCCACACUGGAACUGAGACACGGUCCAGACUCCUACGGGAGGCAGCAGUAGGGAAUCUUCCGCAAUGGGCGAAAGCCUGACGGAGCAACGCCGCGUGAGUGAAGAAGGUCUUCGGAUCGUAAAACUCUGUUAUUAGGGAAGAACAAAUGUGUAAGUAACUAUGCACGCCUUGACGGUACCUAAUCAGAAAGCCACGGCUAACUACGUG